UGUGUUCACAGGUCUCUAUGGAUACAGUUUCUUCGGAAAUUGUAAUUCGAAUCUCUCCGGUGAUGUGUGCGGGAUGAAGAUGCUUGAAAACACAUAAUUCCUAAUAGGGCCCUGAGGUUUCCCCAGUAGGAAUGGAGACGGCAGCAGGUUCGGAGGAGGGGGCGGCGACCGGCGACUGGAAGGAGCCCCACUGGGUGGCCACACUCUUCCCCCCCCGCUUCACGGCGCUGGACCUGUUGGGGGAGACCCCCCGCCUGCUGUCCGAGAGGCUGGCCUGCCAGAGGGUCCGCAGGAGACAGGAGAUCUA